GGGAGGAAGGGAGCAGGCUUUAGAGAGUAAGAACUAGCAUGCAAAUGAAUGUCCUGCAGUUUUAAACUGAGGUUUUGGCAGUGCUCUGGAAUGUUUUUCAGUUUUAUGGCGAAGUUUUGAGGCAAUCUAGUGUUGAUGCCACAGACCUCAAUGCUCCCCUUUCAAAAUGCUUAUUCAUGUCUCUCUGUAAGGUUCCUCUGUCUGACUCAGGAGUUAGCUAGGUGGAGAAGAAAGCUUUCAGCACCUGCCACAUACGAGGUGCUGUGCUAAGCACCAAUGGCCCCGAGAAAGGGUCAGCCCUUGGGGAGCUCCAAGUUUAGUGAAAGAGGUGGAUAAUGAAGGGGAUAAUUCAAUAGCACCUAAGUCUACGGCCACAAAGGAAUGUACUGGAGAGAUGCAGGCUGGUUCAACAACAGGAAGGAAAGAUCUAAAAGAGCCAAGCUCUGGAACAGAAAUGGUUCCUCGGUCGGGAAGGUGACUUCCAAAGCAACAUCAGGGUGUUCCCGGCAAAAGAAAGAAGGCUGACUUAGCCAGAUGAAGCAAUGGUAUCCAUUUCCAUGGCUGUUUGGCCGUGGGAUUUGAAGGUGACAAAAGAAAAACAGAAUUAAAAGGCUCAAAAGAA